rnacentral:rRNA from 1 species
AACGAACGCUGGCGGCAUGCCUAACACAUGCAAGUCGAACGAGACCUUCGGGUCUAGUGGCGCACGGGUGCGUAACGCGUGGGAACCUGCCCUUAGGUUCGGAAUAACUCCCCGAAAGGGGUGCUAAUACCGGAUAAUGUCUUCGGACCAAAGAUUUAUCGCCUUUGGAUGGGCCCGCGUUGGAUUGGCUAGUUGGUAGGGUAAAAGCCUACCAAGGCGACGAUCCAUAGCUGGUCUGAGAGGAUGAUCAGCCACACUGGGACUGAGGCACGGCCCAGACUCCUACGGGAGGCAGCAGUGGGGAAUAUUGGACAAUGGGCGAAAGCCUGAUCCAGCAAUGCCGCGUGAGUGAUGAAGGCCUUAGGGUUGUAAAGCUCUUUUACCCGGGAUGAUAAUGACAGUACCGGGAGAAUAAGCACCGGCUAACUCCGUG